rnacentral:rRNA from 1 species
GGGAAUUUUCCGCAAUGGGCGAAAGCCUGACGGAGCAAUACCGCGUGAGGGAUGACUGCCUAUGGGUUGUAAACCUCUUUUUUCGAGGAAGAAGAACUGACGGUACUUGAGGAAUAAGCCACGGCUAAUUCCGUGCCAGCAGCCGCGGUAAUACGGGAGUGGCAAGCGUUAUCCGGAAUUAUUGGGCGUAAAGCGUCCGCAGGCGGCCUUGUAAGUCUGUUGUUAAAGCGUGGAGCUCAACUCCAUUUGAGCAAUGGAAACUACAAGGCUUGAGUGUGGUAGGGGCAGAGGGAAUUCCCGGUGUAGCGGUGAAAUGCGUAGAUAUUGGGAAGAACACCAGUGGCGAAGGCGCUCUGCUGGGCCAUAACUGACGCUCAUGGACGAAAGCCAGGGGAGCGAAAGGGAUUAGAUACCCCUGUAGUCA